rnacentral:tRNA from 1 species
UGGGUUGUAGCUCAGUGGUAGAGCAUUUGCCUCAUAUCCAUAAGGUUCUGGGGUUCAGUCCCCAGAACCAAA